rnacentral:rRNA from 1 species
UACGGAGGGGGCUAGCGUUGUUCGGAAUUACUGGGCGUAAAGCGCACGUAGGCGGAUUAGUAAGUUAGAGGUGAAAGCCCAGGGCUCAACCCUGGAAUUGCCUUUGAUACUGCUAGUCUAGAGAUCGAGAGAGGCGAGUGGAAUUCCGAGUGUAGAGGUGAAAUUCGUAGAUAUUCGGAGGAACACCAGUGGCGAAGGCGGCUCGCUGGCUCGAUACUGACGCUGAGGUGCGAAAGCGUGGGGAGCAAACAGG